GACGAACGCUGGCGGCGUGCCUAAUACAUGCAAGUCGAACGAAGCUUUUUUAACUGGUGCUUGCACCGACUUAAACAACUGAGUGGCGAACGGGUGAGUAACACGUGGGUAACCUACCCCAAAGCGGGGGAUAACAUUUGGAAACAGAUGCUAAUACCGCAUAACCACAGAAACCACAUGGUUUCUGUGUCAAAGAUGGUUUCGGCUAUCACUUUGGGAUGGACCCGCGGCGAAGUAGCAAGUUGGUAAGGUAAUGGCUUACCAAGGAAAUGAUACGUAGCCGAACUGAGAGGUUGAUCGGCCACAUUGGGACUGAGACACGGCCCAAACGCCUACGGGAGGCAGCAGUAGGGAAUCUUCCACAAUGGACGAAAGUCUGAUGGAGCAACGCCGCGUGAGUGAAGAAGGUUUUCGGAUCGUAAAACUCUGUUGUCAGAGAAGAACGUGUGCGAGAGUAACUGUUCAUGCAGUGACGGUAUCUGGCCAGAAAGCCACGGCUAACUACGUGCCAGCCGCCGCCGUAA
rnacentral:rRNA from 1 species